GAUGAAGAACGUAGCGAAAUGCGAUAAGUAAUGUGAAUUGCAGAAUUCAGUGAAUCAUCGAAUCUUUGAACGCACAUUGCGCCCGCUGGUAUUCCGGCGGGCAUGCCUGUUCGAGCGUCAUUUCAACCCUUAAGCUCUCCGGAGUUUGGUGUUGGGGCGCCUGGGGCUUUUCGACCUCAGGGCCCUCAAGUCCAUCGGCGGGACCGCCAGGACACUGAGCGCAGUAGUAUUAUUUCGCUCGGUAGGAUCUUCCACGGCGGGUCGAUCUGGCCGCUAAACCCCCCAAUUCUCACCAAAGGUUGACCUCGGAUCAGGUAGGAAUACCCGCUGAACUUAAGCAUAUCAAUAAGCGGAGGA
rnacentral:misc_RNA from 1 species